UACGGAGGGUGCAAGCGUUAAUCGGAAUUACUGGGCGUAAAGCGCGCGUAGGCGGCUGUCUAAGUCGGGUGUGAAAGCCCCGGGCUCAACCUGGGAACUGCAUCCGAUACUGGUCGGCUAGAGUAUGGGAGAGGGAGGUAGAAUUCCACGUGUAGCGGUGAAAUGCGUAGAUAUGUGGAGGAAUACCGGUGGCGAAGGCGGCCUCCUGGCCCAAUACUGACGCUGAGGUGCGAAAGCGUGGGGAUCAAACAGG
rnacentral:rRNA from 1 species